rnacentral:ncRNA from 2 species
CCAAUAGCGUAUAUUAAAGUUGCUGCAGUUAAAAAGCUCGUAGUUGAAUUUCGGGACUAAUAUGUCGGUCGUGCCUCGGUACGUACUGGUUUAUUGGUUUCUCCUUUCUGAAGAACCAUGAUGUCAUUUAUUUGGUGUCGUGGGGAAUCAGGACUGUUACUUUGAAAAAAUUAGAGUGUUUAAAGCAGGCUCACGCUUGAAUACAUUAGCAUGGAAUAAUGAAAUAGGACGUUUGAUUCUAUUUUGUUGGUUUCUAGGAUCGACGUAAUGAUUAAUAGGGAUAGUUGGGGGCAUUAGUAUUCAAUUGUCAGAGGUGAAAUUCUUGGAUUUAUUGAAGACUAACUACUGCGAAAGCAUUUGCCAAGGAUGUUUUCAUUAAUCAAGAACGAAAGUUAGGGGAUCGAAGACGAUCAGAUACCGUCGUAGUCUUAACCAUAAACUAUGCCGACUAGGGAUCGGAUGAUGUUAAUUUUUUAAUGACUCAUUCGGCGCCUUACG